UGCAAGUCGAACGAUGAUCCCCAGCUUGCUGGGGGGAUUAGUGGCGAACGGGUGAGUAACACGUGAGUAACCUGCCCUUGACUCUGGGAUAAGCGUUGGAAACGACGUCUAAUACCGGAUAUGACUCCUGGCCGCAUGGUCUGGGGGUGGAAAGAUUUUUUGGUCAAGGAUGGACUCGCGGCCUAUCAGGUAGUUGGUGAGGUAAUGGCUCACCAAGCCGACGACGGGUAGCCGGCCUGAGAGGGUGACCGGCCACACUGGGACUGAGACACGGCCCAGACUCCUACGGGAGGCAGCAGUGGGGAAUAUUGCACAAUGGGCGAAAGCCUGAUGCAGCAACGCCGCGUGAGGGACGACGGCCUUCGGGUUGUAAACCUCUUUUAGUAGGGAAGAAGGGAGCUUGCUCUUGACGGUACCUGCAGAAAAAGCACCGGCUAACUACGUGCCAGCAGCCGCGGUAAUACGUAGGGUGCAAGCGUUGUCCGGAAUUAUUGGGCGUAAAGAGCUCGUAGGCGGUUUGUCGCGUCUGCUGUGAAAUCUGGGGGCUCAACCCCCAGCCUGCAGUGGGUACGGGCAGACUAGAGUGCGGUAGGGGAGAUUGGAAUUCCUGGUGUAGCGGUGGAAUGCGCAGAUAUCAGGAGGAACACCGAUGGCGAAGGCAGAUCUCUGGGCCGUAACUGACGCUGAGGAGCGAAAGCAUGGGGAGCGAACAGGAUUAGAUACCCUGGUAGUCCAUGCCGUAAACGUUGGGAACUAGAUGUAGGGGCCAUUCCACGGUUUCUGUGUCGCAGCUAACGCAUUAAGUUCCCCGCCUGGGGAGUACGGCCGCAAGGCUAAAACUCAAAGGAAUUGACGGGGGCCCGCACAAGCGGCGGAGCAUGCGGAUUAAUUCGAUGCAACGCGAAGAACCUUACCAAGGCUUGACAUAUACCGGAAACGUCCAGAGAUGGUCGCCCCGCAAGGUCGGUAUACAGGUGGUGCAUGGUUGUCGUCAGCUCGUGUCGUGAGAUGUUGGGUUAAGUCCCGCAACGAGCGCAACCCUCGUUCUAUGUUGCCAGCACGUUAUG
rnacentral:rRNA from 1 species